CGGGGCUGCACAGAGCUCUCUGUGCUCAGGCACCUGCACAGCCCAGCUCAGCCAGCUCUGCCCUGCCUGCAGACACACAAAUGGCAUUUUUGGGGCAUCCCUGGGACUCGUUUGCACGGCUGCCACGAGAACUUUGCAGUUCUUACAAAGAUGUUCCACUCAGCCUUUCUGCAUUGAUUUACUGGACCUGAGCAAGAGGCAAUAUUGAAGACCCACCUGCUCUGAAAUUUCCUCCUUCCUCCUGAGAGAAAGCUCCAGGAACGAGCCUUUGGGGUGGACCUUGUCCCUGCACAGGACACCGGGGUCAGCUCUGGGGACAACUGAGCUGCAGGGCCAUGGAGCUGGGGCUGGUGGCAGGAAGGUGGCACAGCAAGGGCUGCUCCAGCCUCACAGAAUUCACAGAGUCACUGGGUUGGAAGAGACCUUCAAGAUCAUUGAGUCCAACCCAGCCCCAA